GGGUGAGUAACGCGUAAUCAACCUACCCUUCAGAGGGGGACAACAGUUGGAAACGACUGCUAAUACCGCAUACAAUCUAACCUCGGCAUCGAGGAUGGAUGAAAGGUGGCCUCUAUUUAUAAGCUAUCACUGAAGGAGGGGAUUGCGUCUGAUUAGCUAGUUGGAGGGGUAACGGCCCACCAAGGCGAUGAUCAGUAGCCGGUCUGAGAGGAUGAACGGCCACACUGGGACUGAGACACGGCCCAGACUCC
rnacentral:rRNA from 1 species